ACGCUUAACACAUGCAAGUCGAACGAGAUCUUCGGAUCUAGUGGCAGACGGGUGAGUAACGCGUGGGAACCUGCCCAGUAGUAGAGGACAACUUGGGGAAACUUAAGCUAAUACUUUAUACGUCCUUCGGGAGAAAGCUUUAUGCGCUAUUGGAUGGGCCCGCGUUAGAUUAGUUUGUUGGUGAGGUAAUGGCUCACCAAGACUACGAUCUAUAGCUGGUCUGAGAGGAUGAUCAGCCACACUGGGACUGAGACACGGCCCAGACUCCUACGGGAGGCAGCAGUGGGGAAUAUUGGACAAUGGGGGCAACCCUGAUCCAGCGAUGCCGCGUGAGUGAUGAAGGCCCUAGGGUUGUAAAACUCUUUCGUCAGGGAAGAUAAUGACGGUACCUGAAGAAGAAGAUCCGGCUAACUCCGUGCCAGCAGCCGCGGUAAUACGGAGGGAUCUAGCGUUAUUCGGAAUUACUGGGCGUAAAGCGAGCGUAGGCGGAUUUGUAAGUUGGAGGUGAAAUCCCAGAGCUUAACUCUGGAACUGCCUUCAAAACUACAUUUCUUGAGUUUGGUAGAGGAGAGUGGAAUUCCUAGUGUAGAGGUGAAAUUCGUAGAUAUUAGGAGGAACACCAGUGGCGAAGGCGACUCUCUGGGCCAAUACUGACGCUGAGGUUCGAAAGCAUGGGUAGCGAACAGGAUUAGAUACCCUGGUAGUCCAUGCAGUAAACGAUGAGUGCUAGAUGUUGGGAAUUUAAAUUUCCAGUAUCGCAGUUAACGCGUUAAGCACUCCGCCUGGGAAGUAC
rnacentral:rRNA from 1 species